UGUCGUCCGGUGGCGAUUUCAUGCUGGGUGUAAAGAUUAAAGAUGAAGAUUACUUUCGUGGCGAAGAUGUGAUAUGGUUGCAUUUUGAAGAAUUAUACCAACUAUACCAUCAAGACGCCCUCGACAUCUCUUUCGUCAGUACCUGGCUUCUAAUGGAGACUCAAAAUUUUAGGAAGGAAGGGUACAAUCACUUGGGUUUCAUCGACCCAGUGGUUAUGAAUUGCGUUAAUCUAAAGGAUAAGCCUUAGAAACAUUUAAUAACUUAUACAAGUUCUUAGCCAUUCAGUGUGAUAAGCUAAAUAUUUGGUUGCCUUACAACUUUCAGUGAGUAUUUUCUGCCGCGUAACCCUUUUACUUUUGUAUAAUUGAAUUUUUAACCCUAACAAGAAGUGGCUCUAUAUAAUCUUGCAGAAAUCACUGGAUACUUGUUGUGAUAAUUCCUAACAUGAGCUUAGCGGUAGUUAUGGAUUCAUUGAGCAAAUCACCAGAAGAUUACAAAAGCAUGAAGGACUUGUUAGAAAGUGUUUGGAGAAAGUUGUGUGAAAACCAUGCGGGUUAUUUCAGUGGAGAACUUAAUGGAAGACAAACUUUCCGGUACAUACUGGAUGCUGCUUUGCACAUUUCAUUUGUUUUAUUAUAUAUUCAUAUGGGUUCCUGAUGACUCCUUUUCUCUUAAAGUGUUUGAGGCAGGCGCAGGGCAAUAAUUUAUGUGCAUACUAUGUUUGCGAGAAUGUUCAUGGUUUAGUAGGUUCUCGCAAGACAUAUACUACUUGGCAAUUGGAAGGAACUAAAAAACUUUUGUCAGGGUUUCAACUCAUUCUGUUAAUUGACAUAAUUAAUAUUUUCACUUUAUUAUAGCUCGAUUGGAUGCGGGAUCAGCUCAUUCCACGGGAAAGAGUUUUGCGAUUCAAGAAGCCCUGGCGGGAUUUAUCUUUGAGCUGGUCGUCAGCAAAGAGGGUGAAUUCCACUAUGACGGAGGAAAUCUAGAUCAAAGGAGUAAAUAUAGCGAAAUUAUUAUAUAAAACUUUGUUGCACUUUGUAUGUAUGUAUACAUGCAUGUAUAUA